rnacentral:rRNA from 1 species
AGAGUUUGAUCCUGGCUCAGGAUGAACGCUAGCGGCAGGCCUAACACAUGCAAGUCGAACGGUAACAUAAGAGCUUGCUCUUGAUGACGAGUGGCGCACGGGUGAGUAACGCGUAUGCAAUCUACCUAUAACUGAGGGAUAGCCCAGAGAAAUUUGGAUUAAUACCUCAUAACAUUAUUAUUUGGCAUCAUUUAAUAAUUAAAACUCCGGUGGUUAUAGAUGAGCAUGCGUUCUAUUAGCUAGUUGGUGAGGUAAGAGCUCACCAAGGCUACGAUAGAUAGGGGGCCUGAAAGGGUGAUCCCCCACACUGGUACUGAGACACGGACCAGACUCCUACGGGAGGCAGCAGUGAGGAAUAUUGCACAAUGGAGGAAACUCUGAUGCAGCCAUGCCGCGUGCAGGAUGAAGGCCCUAUGGGUUGUAAACUGCUUUUUUACAAGAAGAAACCUUGGUACGUGUACCAACUUGACGGUAUUGUAAGAAUAAGCACCGGCUAACUCCGUGCCAGCAGCCGCGGUAAUACGGAGGGUGCAAGCGUUAUCCGGAUUUAUUAGGUUUAAAGGGUUCGCAGGCGGAAUUUUAAGUCAGUGGUGAAAGCCUACAGCUCAACUGUAGAACUGCCAUUGAAACUGAUAUUCUUGAGUAUAGAUGAAGUGGGCGGAAUAUGUCAUGUAGCGGUGAAAUGCAUAGAUAUGACAUGGAACACCAAUUGCGAAGGCAGCUCACUAAACUAUUACUGACGCUCAUGAACGAAAGCGUGGGGAGCAAACAGGAUUAGAUACC